GAUCCGUUCCUGCUCCUCCCCGACCCGUAUGCCUUCGAGUGUCCCGUCUCAGACUACGAGUAUCUGGCAGCAGAUGUGCUGGAGCGAGCGCCGGCGUCUGAGCAGAGCGAGGACAAACACACAGCCGUGUGUGAGCAGGAUUUGGCAGAGCAUACAGAUGUCUCCAUUAACACCGAGCCAUACGUGUCCUUCGAGAGCAACAACGGCGACAUGCUUCAGAAAGAGAAGCAGA